rnacentral:rRNA from 1 species
GAAACCAACUGGGAUUGCCUUAGUAACGGCGAGUGAAGCGGCAAAAGCUCAAAUUUGAAAUCUGGUACCUUUGGUGCCCGAGUUGUAAUUUGGAGAGUACCACUUUGGGACUGUACUUUGCCUAUGUUCCUUGGAACAGGACGUCAUGGAGGGUGAGAAUCCCGUGUGGCGAGGGUGUCAGUUCUUUGUAAAGGGUGCUCGAAGAGUCGAGUUGUUUGGGAAUGCAGCUCUAAGUGGGUGGUAAAUUCCAUCUAAAGCUAAAUACAGGCGAGAGACCGAUAGCGAACAAGUACAGUGAUGGAAAGAUGAAAAGAACUUUGAAAAGAGAGUGAAAAAGUACGUGAAAUUGUUGAAAGGGAAGGGCAUUUGAUCAGACAUGGUGUUUUGCGCCCCUUGCCUCUCGUGGGCUUGGGACUCUCGCAGCUCACUGGGCCAGCAUCGGUUUUGGCGGCCGGAAAAAACCUAGGGAAUGUGGCUCUGCGCCUCGGUGUAGAGUGUUAUAGCCCUG